UAUUCCGAGGACACCGCCAGGUGGGGAGUUUGACUGGGGCGGUACAUCUGUCAAAAAAAUAACGCAGGUGUCCUAAGGCCAGCUCAGCGAGGACGGAAACCUCGCGUAGAGCAAAAGGGCAAAUGCUGGCUUGAUCCCGAUGUUCAGUACGCAUAGGGACUGCGAAAGCACGGCCUAUCGAUCCUUUUGGCUUCAAGAGUUUUGAUCAAGAGGUGUCAGAAAAGUUACC
rnacentral:rRNA from 1 species